AGUGAACGCUGGCGGUAGGCCUAACACAUGCAAGUCGAACGGCAGCACAGUAAGAGCUUGCUCUUACGGGUGGCGAGUGGCGGACGGGUGAGGAAUACAUCGGAAUCUACUUUUUCGUGGGGGAUAACGUAGGGAAACUUACGCUAAUACCGCAUACGACCUACGGGUGAAAGCAGGGGAUCUUCGGACCUUGCGCGAUUGAAUGAGCCGAUGUCGGAUUAGCUAGUUGGCGGGGUAAAGGCCCACCAAGGCGACGAUCCUUAGCUGGUCUGAGAGGAUGAUCAGCCACACUCGAUCUGAGACACGGUCCAGACUCCUACGGGAGGCAGCAGUGGGGAAUAUUGGACGAUGGGCGCAAGCCUGAUCCAGCCCUACCGCGUGGGUGAAGCAGCCCUUCCGGUUGUCAAGCCCUUUUGUUGGGAAAGAAAAGCAGCAGGUUAAUACCCCGCUGUUCUGACGGUACCCAAAGAAUAAGCACCGGCUAACUUCGUG
rnacentral:rRNA from 1 species